rnacentral:lncRNA from 1 species
CUCCACACCUCCCUGCAAGCUGAGGGAGUGGGCUCCGGCCUUGGCCAGCCCAGAAAGGGGCUCCCACAGUGCAGCGGUGGGCUGAAGGGCUCCUCAAGUGCCACCAAAGUGGGAGCCCAGGCAGAGGAGGCACCGAGAGCAAGCGAGGGCUGUGAGGACUGCCAGUACGCUGUCCCCUCUCACCAGGAGGUGGAAGUUGCAGUGAGCCGAGAUUGCGCCACUACACUCCAGCCUGGCAACAAGGCAAGACUCUGUCACAAAGAAAAAAAAAAAUUCCUAUGAGGUAGGCUUUGUUAUUAUUCUCUCUCUCUCUUUUUUUUUUUUUUUUUGAGACAGAGUCUCACUCUGUCACCCAGGCUAGAGUGCAAUGGCAUAAUCAUGGUUCACUGCAGCCUUGACCUCUCAGGCUCAAGCAAUCCUCCCACCUCAGCCUCCCGAGUAGCGCCGCCAAAGUGGGAGCCCUUCAGCCCACUGCUGCACUGUGGGAGCCCCUUUCUGGGCUGGCCAAGGCCAUAGCCGGCUGCCUCAGCUUGCAGGGAGGUGUGGAGGGAGAGGCGCGAGCGGGAACCGGGGCUGCGCGCGUUGCUUGCGGGCCAGCUGGAGUUCCGGGUGGGCGUGGGCUUCCACACUGUGGAGGCUUUGUUCUUUCGCUCUUUGCGAUAAAUCUUGCUACUGCUCACUCUUUGGGUCCACGCUGCUUUUAUGAGCUGUAACACUCACCGCGAAGGUCUGCAGCUUCACUCCUGAAGCCAGUGAGACCACGAGCCCACCAGGAGGAAGGAACAACUCCAGACGCGCCACCUUAAGAGCUGUAACACUCACCGGGAAGGUCUGUAGCUUCACUCCUGAGCCAGCGAGACCACGAACCCACCAGAAGGGAGAAACUCCGAACACAUUCGAACAUCAGAAGGACCAAACUCCAGACGCGCCACCUUAAGAGCUGUAACACUCACUGCGAGGGUCCGCGGCUUCAUUCUUGAAGUCAGUGAGACCAAGAACCCACCAAUUCCGGACACAGUGGCUGGGAUUACAGGCACGUGCCACCAUGCCUGGCUAGUUUUUGUAUUUUUUGUAGAGACGGGAUUUUGCCAUGUUGCCCAGGCUGGUCUCGAACUCCUGGAGUCAAGUGAUCUGCCUGCCUCAGCCUUCCAAAGUGCUGGGAUUACAGGAAUUUAUUCUCAUUUUACAGAUGAGGAAACUGCAGCACAGAAAGUCUGUUACUUGACCAAAGUUACAUAGGUGAUAAGUGAUAGAAUGGGGAUUUGAACGUAGGCAAUUCUGUCUCAGCCCCAGCUUGUUCUCCCAUUCUAAAGAUCACAUCUUUGACUCAUUUUGUCUGCCUGAUUGCUUAUGGUGAUGCUUGGGGCCACAGGUCCUCACUGCAGACCUCCCAGGGGCAGGAGCCCUGCCCCUGAGCCCUAGACCAGGAGCCUUCCCCCUUCCUCCAAUUUUCAGCCUCUCUGCCCUGGACUCCUCCUUGGGCUGCCACCUAAUGCCAGUCUCCAAACAUUCCAGAUGCUAUCUCUCUGGCUGUGAUGGAGGCUCAACCAAUCAGACACUCUGGCCCAGGACUUUGAAUCAAGACAGAAGAGAGUCCACUUUUGUGGCAUCAGCAUCGAAUCUCCAAGACCAGGCGCCCAGACUCUGUGCUGUUCUUCUGAGCUUGGCACUUGAAACUGCUCUGUCCACACUGCUCUGCCUCCAGCUCCUGAUAUGCCUAUUAGUAAGCAACCCAUUUCCAGAAAGUGGCUGGCUCAAACUUUUGACACCCAGGAGAUCAUCCAAACCGUUUUACAUACCACAGAUCACACAGCCACAUGGAGCUGGGAAAUGUGAUCGACUUGAAGAAGAAUGAAUACGGUGAAGAUUGGAAAGAAGACAUGAGCUGAUCAACUUAGUAGGAGUAAGGAAAACCCUUUUUUUUUUUUUUUGAGACAGAGUCUCACUCUGUUACCAGGCUGGAGUGUGAUGGCGCAAUCUCCGCUUACUGCAACCUCCGCCUUCUAGGUUCAAGAGAUUCUCCUGCCUCAGCCUCCCAAGUAGCUGGGAUUACAGGCACACUCCACCAUGCCUGGCUAAUUUCUGUAUUUUUAGGCUGGGGUUUCACCAUGUUGGCCAGGAUGGUUUUGAUCUCCUGACUUCAUGAUCCGCCCGCCUCGGCCUCCCAAAGUGCUGGGAUUACAGGCAUGAGCCACUGUGCCCAGCUGGAAAACAUGUCUUUUAAAUAUCGAAGGAGAAGUGGAUACACACCAAAUCAUUUCUCUUCCCCAUUGUAUCCUAUAGGGAGCCAAAAUACUCACCUUAUAGUAGUGAAAAUCGGAGGAAAUGAUGGACCUGAGGAAAGAUGAGUCUCCAAUAAAGCAGGAUGUGGCUUGUUGUUUCUGAUCUAAUCAGGAGGUUUAGGGGCCGGCUGUGCUGAAAUGAUAUCCAUAAGCCCUAUUUGAGUGGCCCAACUGUAUUUAACCCAACCUGAAUUCACAGAAAAGUUUGUCCUUCUAGAAUCAUAGUACAUGAAGGAGUAAACCUUAAGGGGUAGGGAUGGUUGGAAAAAUUUGUGUGUCAGAUUCCUGAAAGGUUUGAUGAGAUAGGGAGGCUGCAUGUAAAUCUCAAUCUGGUUAUUUACUGGUUGUGUGAACCAGAAAAAAGUGUGCAAAUAAUAACACCUCACAGGAUUGUGGUUUUUUUGGUUGUUGUUGUUUGUUUGUUUUUGUUUUGUUUUGAGACAGGGUCUCCCUUUGUUGUCCAGGCUGGAAUGCAGUGGCACAAUCAGGGCUCACUUGAGUCUUGACCUGCUGGGCUCAGGUGAUUCUCCCACCUCAGCCUCCUGGGUGGCUGGGGCUACAGGUGCACACCACCAUGCCCAACUAAUUUUUUAAAUUUUUUUUUUGUAGAGAUGGGGUUUUGCUAUGUUUCCCAAGCUAUUCUGUAACCCCUGGGCUCAAGUUAUUCUCGACCUUCCAAAGUGUUGGGAUUACAGGUGUGAACCACUAUGCCUGGCCUCAAAGCGUUGUUAAAAGCAUUGAGACACUGUAGGUAAAACACUUAGUGCCAGGCACAUUGUAUGAGCUUAAUACAUGUUAGUUCGUGUUAACACAUAAGCAGUCUGUAGCAUGGGAUGCAAAAACUGAAAUUAUUGCAUGGUUGAACCAUAUAAUGUUGCCAGCAGUCACCUUUGACUUACAAAAAUAGUGAUUUCAUUCUCUUUGUUUCUUCCCUCCUUCCCUCUCUUCCUUCUACCUCUCUCUCUCUCUCUCUCUCUCUUUCUCUCUCUCUCUCAACAGGGUCUUACUCUAUUGCCCAGGCUGGAGUGCACUGGUGUGAUCAUAGCACAUGGCAGCUUCAAACUCCUAGUAGCUAGGACUACAGGCGUGUGCCACCAUGCCCAGCUAAUUUUUAAAUUUGUUGUACAGACAAGGUCUCUCUGCAUUGCCCAGGCUGUUCUAGAACUCCUGUUCAAGCAAUCUUCCUGCCUAGGCUGCCCAAAGUGCUGAGAUUACAGGUGUGAGCCAUGCGCCUGGCCAAUUUCAUAUAUUCCCACUAAACUUUCCUCUUCCUUCCAUAUAUAUAUAAUAUUACAUAUCUUACAUAUGUACAAAAGAUUAUAUAUUCCAUUACAUAUCUUAUAUACAUAUGAAACACAUAUAUAUGCCAUAUAUAUGAUAUGAAAUAUAUAUAGUAACAUAUAUAAACUGGGAGAUAAGGUGAUAAGUUGUAGUACUGUGCCUCACCUGCUCAUUACCCUGUGGUAAGCUCCUUAUGUCUUCAGAGAAUUCCUGGGGCAUGAAUGUGUCUCCUUGUGUAACAAGUGAUCAAUGCUUCUUUAGAAUAAAGAAAAAACCCAAACUAUGAAACAGAACUGGCAUUUUCUAAAAGGACACAAAAGCCAAGGCAAGAACAAAGGAAGCAGUACGGGAAAGUUGGGGUGUGGGGACAACUCUUUCAGAGUGAUAGGAGAGUGUGCCCAGACCUUGGCCCGCCCCGGCCACACUGCUCCCCAGACUACCUGCAUCCAUUCCCACAGUGCGCUCUUUGCUAUCUCCCUUCUAGAAACCAGACUAGGCUGAAAAGCCAGGAUAAAUGGAUAUAGUGCCCCCGAGUCUCUAAUUUCUGGGCACCUCAG